UAGGGUUCUUGUAGUUGAAUUACAA
rnacentral:tRNA from 2 species